CACCCCUCAAGCCUGGCUUGGUGUUGGGCGACGUCCUCUUUGGGGACGCGUCUCAAAACGCUCGGCGGCGUGGCACCGGCUUUAAGCGUAGCAGAAUCUUAUCUUUCGCUUUGAAAGUCGGGGCCACAUCUGCCGGAAGACCUACUCGCAA
rnacentral:misc_RNA from 1 species